GUGAGUAAUGCAUCGGAACGUGCCCAGUCGUGGGGGAUAACGCAGCGAAAGCUGUGCUAAUACCGCAUACGAUCUCUGGAUGAAAGCGGGGGACCUUAGGGCCUCGCGCGAUUGGAGCGGCCGAUGUCAGAUUAGGUAGUUGGUGGGGUAAAGGCCCACCAAGCCAACGAUCUGUAGCUGGUCUGAGAGGACGACCAGCCACACUGGGACUGAGACACGGCCCAGACUCAUACGGGAGGCAGCAGUGGGGAAUUUUGGACAAUGGGCGCAAGCCUGAUCCAGCAAUGCCGCGUGCAGGAAGAAGGCCUUCGGGUUGUAAACUGCUUUUGUACGGAACGAAAAGGUUCGGGUUAAUANCCCUGGGCUCAUGACGGUACGUAAGAAUAGCCCGGU
rnacentral:rRNA from 1 species